rnacentral:misc_RNA from 1 species
GAUGGUGCCCCAGAGGAAGGGCCCAUAACCACACCAUUGCCUGCAGAAGGUGGUCUGGACACAAAAGGGGAAGGCUGACUAAAAGGCGGGCCAGUUGGUCUAGCUGGACCCCCAUUUGGGGGCAAUGUAGGUGGUGGGGACCCUGAUGGAGGCAGGGAGGGUCUAGGAAAUGCACCAGGAGGCGGUGGGCCUGGGCGGGACAAUGGUGGAGAAGGAGCUGAGGAAGGAAAUGGAGGCGGUAGAAAUGGUGAUGGCCUGGGAGCUGAAUUGGGCAUCAAAGGGGGCCGAUUAAGGCUCAGAUUUUGCAAAUUAUCAGAUAAUGAAUUGGGAUUCUGCUGAUAAUUAGGGUUAUAAUCAGGUGGCGGUGGUUGUUGCCUAGGUGCCCCUGGAGGCACAGGAGCUGCCAUUCUCAAUUAACCAAAAUAAACCCAAAAUCUCAACUCACUUAAUCUCCAGCAAUCACGCCCACAAUAUCUAUUCCUCAAAAAAUAUCCGAUGAACAGGAUCAACUCUAAAUCUAUGCAUCAACGAAUAAAACAUACCUGCACAGAGGAAAGAAGAAGGGAUCGAGAAGACUGGAUCUGUGAGAGUGAAUGACCAGGGGAAUGGAUCUAAGAGAAUUUUGAUAUGGGUUUUGGAGAGAGAAUUAAAAAUAAGGGUUUUGGGAUCAGAGGAAGAUCCAAGGUGGGGCUCAGACAGAGAGAUAUUUGAGAAGCUGAAGAAGGGCGGGCCCUUUAAUGUUUUAACAGAGAGAAGAAAGACAGUUAUUGUGAAAACUUUCUUCUCUUCUCCUUUUAACAAAAUUU